rnacentral:pre_miRNA from 14 species
GACCGCACGGGAUAAUCUAUUAUCCCGUGCGGUACAAUAAGGCUGACCGCACGGGAUAAUCUAUUAUCCCGUGCGGUG